rnacentral:rRNA from 1 species
UACGGAGGGUGCAAGCGUUAAUCGGAAUUACUGGGCGUAAAGGGCGCGCAGGCGGCCGAUCAAGUCAGAUGUGAAAGCCCCGGGCUCAACCUGGGAAUAGCAUUUGGGACUGGUCGGCUAGAGUUCGGGAGAGGAGAGUGGAAUUCCCAGUGUAGAGGUGAAAUACAUAGAGAUGUCAUAGAACACCGAUUGCGAAGGCAGCUGACGAAACUAUAACUGACACUGAGGCUCGAAAGUGUGGGGAUCAAACAGG